GAGGCUGGAAAGCAGGCACUAAGAAAACAGCAGAGAAGAAACAGGACAAAAACCUCUGGCUAUGUGGAACUUAAUCUAACACGAAAGAGACAGCAAACAAAUAGGUAAGUAAUAGAGAUGGCAAUAAGUGUUGCAGAGAAGGAUAGAGCAGGGAAAGGGACAGGGAAUGCCUGGGGACAGAGGCUGCGAUGCGGGAAGGCCUCAAAAGAUGUUUGAGUAAAGAGCUGAAGGAGGAAGGGAACUGGUUGUGGGAGUGACAGGAGAAGAAUAUUUCAGGCAGAAGCCAUUGAGCUAAGAGCUGGGACUUGCUUCUGGGUCCACUGCAGGGCAGCACAUGGCACUGGGGAGGGGGAUAGCAUGAGGGAGGGAGGCCAGUGCAGUGUGGCAGCUCAGGUGUGCACCUGCUGGAAGCCACAAGCUUGGAGAUGGUGCAGGAGGUGGCAGGGAACAAAUGAGCCAAAAUGCUUCCACAGGUGGGGUGUCCACAUGUCUGUGACAGGAGCCCUGAGCUAUUCUCAGCCCCACUAAGGACUCUGAAGAGGAGAAUUUGGGACACAACA
rnacentral:lncRNA from 10 species